rnacentral:rRNA from 1 species
CAGAGGGUGCAAACGUUGUUCGGAAUUACUGGGCGUAAAGCGUGUGUAGGCGGCCUAGCAGGUCGGAUGUGAAAGCUCUCGGCUCAACCGGGAAAGUGCAUUCGAAACCGCAAGGCUUGAGUGUCGGAGAGGAGGGCGGAAUUGUCGGUGUAGAGGUGAAAUUCCUAGAUAUCGACAGGAACACCUGUGGCGAAAGCGGCCCUCUGGACGAACACUGACGCUGAGACACGAAAGCGUGGGGAGCAAACAGGAUUAGAUACCCUGGUAGUCCACGCCGUAAACGAUGGGUGCUAGAUGUCACGGGAUUUGACCCCUGUGGCGUCGUAGCUAACGCGUUAAGCACCCCGCCUGGGAAGUACGGUCGCAAGACUA